rnacentral:rRNA from 1 species
UACGUAGGGUGCGAGCGUUAAUCGGAAUUACUGGGCGUAAAGCGUGCGCAGGCGGUUUUGUAAGCCAGGGGUGAAAUCCCCGGGCUCAACCUGGGAAUGGCAUUUGGGACUGCAAGGCUGGAGUGCGGCAGAGGAGACUGGAAUUCCUGGUGUAGCAGUGAAAUGCGUAGAUAUCAGGAGGAACACCGAUGGCGAAGGCAGGUCUCUGGGCUGACACUGACGCUCAUGCACGAAAGCGUGGGGAGCAAACAGG